AGUGCCCUAUAUCUCAUCGCUAAUUCUGUAGUUUAGGGAUUUUCGUAUCGAUUGAGUUAUUUGAUUACAGAUUAUCUUAUCAUAAUUCAUACGGAAAGACCAUUAGAUUAUAUGAUUAUGUGAUGCCUAAGUAUACAAUAUUGCUCAUCUAGCCUGUGUCUAUGUUGAUUGAUGAUUUUGUGGCUUCUUGCAUAUUAGUUUUUGGUUGAUAAAUUAUUGUUUGUAUGAUGUGCAAGUGGGACAUGGACGAGGUAGUAGUACAAGUGGAGAAGACGAAGAGAGAAUGGGACGACGCCUACGAGAAGACCUUCGAACAUAUCCUUGCGAUUCAAGAGUACGGUAAAUCAAGGAGAGGAGGCGAGGAGAAGAUUUCUCUGCAGAGGCUCAACGGGUUGGCUCAGGAUGGUCUCUCUCUUCUCAACUCUCUUCAAUUCAAUCUCGAUCUUCUCGCCCCUCAGCUCCCUUCUGAUGACCAGGUCCAGUCCACUCAGUCUCUGCUUGAAACCUGGAAGAAUCAGUAUCAAAGGUAUAUAUGUGCUUUUUUUUGUAUAACAAACGAUUAGGUAGUUGGGGGUAAUGUAAAUUGUAGCUCAAGUUGAUGGCGAUUGAUCUUGACUUAGGGACAUUUCUGUGACUGUUUAAAAGCAUUGCCUUGUGCUUGACUUUUGCCUAUGUAAGGUUUAGUUGACCAAAUUGAAUCUGGAUUGUUUUUCUUUGUGGUCAGUUUGAGGGUUAACCUGAGAAGUGCUAAUUUGAAAGCAAAGGAUAACAUGAGGAAAGCUGCUCAACAAGAGGUAAGUCCGCACUCUCUCUGCUCUGCUGCUGUUUUCACCAGCAUUCUCCUUUGAAUCCCCUUUUCUUUUUAUAUAUAUAUAUAUAAAGAGUGCUUACAAUGAUUGUAGAGAGAGCUUCUCCUCGGUGGUGGAACAGAGUCCACUGAUCUCAGACGUAAACGACAGUAAGUAACUGUUUCAUACUCUAUUACAUCAGUCCUGCUUGACCCAGCCUCUUCUUUAAAACAAUUUUACUUGUAUUUUUUGUUAAAGUAGCACUCUCUAAAAUAUAGUUCAUCUUGGUUGUUUGUAGAGCAAAUGCUGGAGUGACGUCGGAUGCUGAAAGCAUUACUGAAAGUCUCAGGCGUUCACGCCAGCUGAUGGUUCAGGUCAGAACAGCUAUUUUCUGCUUACAUCCUGCUUGCUUUUUUUUUGUUUUCUGCUCUAGACCAAAGAAAACAACCCAUAAACAAAAGUUAAAGCUGAUUCAAAUAUUCUCUCUCGACUUUUGGGGGGUUACAGGAAGUGGAGAGAAGUACAAACACACUCGUGGCUUUCGGUAUGUCAAUCGAUAAUGCUCCUAUCUGACCUUAUGAUUAGAGUUUUUAGUGAAGAUAGUUAAGACACUAAAACUGACAUAUUAUCUAUGUUUACUUUCGCAGAUGAGUCUACUGGAGUACUUAAGAAAGCCGAAAGUGAGUACAAAGGACACAGGUCUCUGUUAUCGAGGACCCGUAAAAGGAACGAAGUCGUUUCGAAUAUAAUUGGAACUACGUCGUUUUAUUUAUCUUCUUGCCCAAAAAAAAAAGAUUCCUCUUCUUCUGAUUGCUCCUCUCCGGAAUUGAAACAUUCGCUUUUGUUCGUCGAUCUCUGUUUCAAAAGAAACCAUUGCACUGAUCUUAUCAUUAUCUCAACCUUGUAAGUGCCCUAUAUCUCAUCGCUAAUUCUGUAGUUUAGGGAUUUUCGUAUCGAUUGAGUUAUUUGAUUACAGAUUAUCUUAUCAUAAUUCAUACGGAAAGACCAUUAGAUUAUAUGAUUAUGUGAUGCCUAAGUAUACAAUAUUGCUCAUCUAGCCUGUGUCUAUGUUGAUUGAUGAUUUUGUGGCUUCUUGCAUAUUAGUUUUUGGUUGAUAAAUUAUUGUUUGUAUGAUGUGCAAGUGGGACAUGGACGAGGUAGUAGUACAAGUGGAGAAGACGAAGAGAGAAUGGGACGACGCCUACGAGAAGACCUUCGAACAUAUCCUUGCGAUUCAAGAGUACGGUAAAUCAAGGAGAGGAGGCGAGGAGAAGAUUUCUCUGCAGAGGCUCAACGGGUUGGCUCAGGAUGGUCUCUCUCUUCUCAACUCUCUUC
rnacentral:lncRNA from 1 species